GAUUUGAAAAGCCACCUUUUCUAAAGGGUCUUCAUCCAGCCUCUAAUUUUGUCCAUGCAAUCAAUGGAAUGUAUUGCUGACGCAUGACAUAAUGGAUUUAAUUUUAUUGGCACAAAUGUUGGUGUAGGUCUCUGAUUUGCAGGUGAAAUUAAUUUCUCCUGUAAAAUUCCAGUCACAAAGUGAAUAUUUUUGAAAUUUGAGCAACACUAUUUUACUGCCACUAAGAGUGAUGCUCUAACUAUCUCAGGACUCUAGUGAACUAUUUUUAGCUCUGACCCCAUCACACGCGCUCCGUUACUAUGCACUUGAAAGCUAUUGCUCCAAUGGUUUGCAAAGCUUGAGGCUGAUCCCAUUCUGGAAAUUCAGGUGGGGGCAAAUUCCUUGGAAUCUGUUGUCCCAGAUCAUGAUGUCAUUUUAAAGAACAUUUUAAGGAAGGUACAACACAGUCGUCUUAUAACAUUGCUGCUUGCCAUUGCAUCUCAUUGUCCUGUUGUUGAGAGACCACCUCCAGAGUGCUGGAGAUGCCAUACUGACGUGUGUCUUGCCUUUUGAUAAACCAUGGAAUAUGUACAAUAUGGGGAGAAGCAGCAGCGGCCACUUUACCUGUGAGCCUUUUCCAUGGGCCAAGCUCAGUGCUGGAGAAAGUGGGUGCUUAAUGGAAUUACACCUCUUAUCAGACCCAAUUCCGAGCUGUGUCCUGUGGGCAUGAGAUCUCUUGCAGCAGGGAGAGAUGAAGAACGGAGCAACAAUUGUAUUAUUGAAGAGCUCCAUAACCACAGAGUGGGAAAAGCAUGAUCGGAUGUGAUUCUUAGAACAGAUGCCCAAGCAGAGUUGGCAGUUAAUUAAAAGCACCAUGUACUUAAUGAUUAACUAAUCACAGCAUGAUGGCAUUCAACAGAGAUGCAAGAAACUUCUCUGCUGGAUUCAACAGAGAAACUCCUAAUGUCUGCCUUCAGGGUACCGUACUUACAACAGUUUGGUUUUGCAUUACCAGCAGAGACAACA